GGUAGCUAAGCCUUACAACGGAAGGCUUGCAAACCCCGCUAGGCCCGGAAGGGAGCAACGGUAAGCAAAUACCUCCGUGUGUAAGUAACUGGCUAUCAGC
rnacentral:SRP_RNA from 1 species